GACGAACGCUGGCGGCGUGCCUAAUACAUGCAAGUCGAGCGAGACUCUUCGGAGUCUAGCGGCGGACGGGUGAGUAACACGUGGGCAACCUGCCUGUAAGACUGGGAUAACACCGGGAAACCGGUGCUAAUACCGGAUAAUCCUUUUCCUCUCAUGAGGAAAAGUUGAAAGUCGGUUUCGGCUGACACUUACAGAUGGGCCCGCGGCGCAUUAGCUAGUUGGUGAGGUAACGGCUCACCAAGGCGACGAUGCGUAGCCGACCUGAGAGGGUGAUCGGCCACACUGGGACUGAGACACGGCCGAGACUCCUACGGGAGGAAGCAGUAGGGAAUCUUCCACAAUGGACGAAAGUCUGAUGGAGCAACGCCGCGUGAGCGAUGAAGGCCUUCGGGUCGUAAAACUCUGUUGUUAAGGAAGAACGCCGGUGAUUUAACUGAUCACCGGGUGACGGUACUUAACCAGAAAGCCACGGCUAACUACGUGCCAGCAGCCGCCGUAAAAC
rnacentral:rRNA from 1 species